UAAAACCUGAAAAGUGGGGUAUCCCUGGGUGGCUCAGCAGUUUAGCGCUUGCCUUUGGCCAGGGCGUGAUCCUGGAGUCCUGGGAUCGAGUCCCAUGUAGGGCUCCCUGCAUGGAGCCUGCUUCUCCCUCUGCCUCUCUCUGUCUCUGUCUGUCAUAAAUAAAUAAAAUCUUAAAAAAACAAAACCCUGAGAAGUGGACACUGGAAGGGGCCAUCAGGCGGGAAGAGCUUUCAGAGGCCCCCGUUCAAGGCCGAGCCGGGGGGAUGGGGUCAGACCCAGGUGUGCUCAGAUGACACCAGCCCCUACGAGCUGCUGCUAAACAUUCAGGAGUCAGUAAAGCUGCCCACUACUAAAAAGUCAAAUCAUAUAAAAUUAUAGUCAAGUAAAUUAUAUUAAAAACAAAGGUAUUCAACUCAUUACUUCUAAGAAUUUCCGAAUACCUUAUUGUUUAUGGCUUUAAGGUCGUUUACAUCGGUUACGAGUCUGGAAGUACUAUGUGAUCCCUUGUUACUGUGCUUCUCUUUCCCAUCCCGCGUUCAGCGGCGCCGCCUGGAAAUCCGCCGUGGUGGGAGCAUUUGCACCUGGAGGUUGUGGAGACCGGCAGACACCGUACGCCCGGGCCUGAUCCAUGGCUUUGUUGACUGUCUCGAGACUCAGGAAAAUUGUGGAGAAGACGUCAAUAAGGCGCUUUGAAUAUAUAUGUCUCUGUAUCCUGUAUCCUAGAGCUAUUAGGGUGUGGAUGGCACAGAGAAAUCGGGCCAGUGUUCUUCCAGUAUGUUCCAGAAGUACCGCCCGAGUCAGUAAAGAAGCUGCCGACACCACUGACAAGCGUAGAGCUGCAACCUGGACCUUAACGGUUUUGCUCUUUCUUAUGGGCCGGCACGGGCAAAAGUGCCAGCCGGGGUUCACGCUGCAACUACGCCCCCUUGUCCCGUGUAUCACAGGUCAUGCUUUAGCAGGCUGCUGAGAGCGGCGGACGCUCUCUGGGAGACUCGGUUUGCCGUCUGCAAGUACCGUGUAGACGACCGUGUCCUUUACUACUACCGGCUCACAGCGAGGAAACACGCUUGGGUGCCGCUGGUGUGCGGAUAAAGACAGCACGGCCAGGCCUGACCUUCCAAAUCCGGAAGAGAGAGCGACGGCGGAGGCAAACCAGGCAGAGCUUCCUGGGAAAAGGGCGAAGGACCCUGGCCGUCCCGAGGAGAGUGGAUUCGUGGGGAGGAGACCGGCGGCACCGUCACUGCCAUCGAUGGGCCCCAAGGCGGGCGGUGGGGGUGCAGGGCCAGGAGACCCCGGAGGAGGAGCCAGCAGGACGUGGCCCCCGCCCGUGAUGGGAGUGGCCGCCAACGGAAACUGCCCGGUGGUGGUCCCUUCAGCCCAGAAAAAGAAGACAGGUUGGGAUCCCUCGAUGGCUCAGCGGUGGAGUGUCUGCCUUCGGCCCAGGGUGUGAUCCCAGAGA